rnacentral:tRNA from 1 species
GGGCGCGGUAGUCGAAGGUGAACGUCACCGGCUCCUGCCCCGUGUCCUGCACGGUGCCAGCGAUGCGGUAACUGUUCAGCUUCGACUCGCGUUCG